rnacentral:ncRNA from 1 species
CUUCAUAGUCGGCAAACUUAUCGAAAGGUAAGGACGCAAAGCCAAGGGUCUUCUCCAGAAAUGGAAUGACAGCCGGUUGCAUUU